rnacentral:rRNA from 1 species
GUAUCUAAAAAGGUUGGUAGAGCCAACUUAAUAAAGACAAUUUAAUGGCCGCGGUAACACUGACCGUGAUAAUGUAGCGUAAUCAAUAGUCAAUUAAUUGUUGGCCGGUAUGAAUGGUGUCACGAAGGUCUCACUGUCUUAAGGAAAUUUCCAGUGAAAUUGAAUUUGUAGUGAAGAUGCUACAUCCAAAUUGUUAGACAAGAAGACCCCAUGAAACUUUACUGGAAACUUAUGUGGCUGACUUAAAUAGUUUAAAAAUGUGGUGCGGGUCAACUAAGGCUAGAAAAGCGCACUUUUUUAUUUGAAGAAAGGCAACUCACGAACUUAUGUUUUUGGGGUUUGAUAAGUGGGACAGUUUGGUUGGGGCGACCGCCUUUAAAAAGUAACGAAGGCGGGCUUAAGAUACAUAUUUAAUUGUGUCUGACUGCCAGGGGGAGACCCAGAGCAGAUACUUAUCUUUGGACGGUGGGUUUAAGUGACCCGUUAAUUUAGGGUGAAAUAGUUAACGAUAAACAAA